CCGAUGAGGUGGAAACGGACAGAGCUGGCGUAUCUGGCCUGCAUUCAGCCGCUGCGCGUUGGGCCCCGGUUUGCCGCACUCCAGAUUGGGAAGGUGGCUGGGCUGCUGUCGUGUCAGCGGUGCAUUUGCAGGUGGAGUGCGCCGAGGCGCCCGGUUCAGCGGCAUGAGCUCAGCUUUGAGGCCAACCGUGCAAACGGUCUGGUACCCGGGCUGGGGGAGUGUUGUUUGGGCUGGGUGUUCGCUUGGGCAAUGGUUUCGGGCCCGGGUGGGUGCCGAGCUGGCGGUCGGCGGCGGUCGCGUGCGACACGUGCCAGCAGUCAGUUCGGUCCUGCUCGAGCUCUCAUCUGUCCGGCCUCGGUGUAAAAGCCGGUCAUCUGUCCGACCCGUCUUGAAACACGGACCAAGGAGUUUAGCGUGUGCGCGAGUCAUUGGGCGUUGAAAACCCAAAGGCGCAAUGAAAGUGAAGGUCUGCCUUGUGCAGCUGAUGUGUGAUCCUGGGCGCUGCGGUGCCCGGGCGCAACAUAGUCCCGUCCCGACUGCAUGCAGUGGGGCGGAGACAGAGCGUACGCGCUGAG
rnacentral:rRNA from 1 species